AUGUGGAGGCUAUAUACAGGGGGUACCGGUACAGAGUCAAUGUGGAGGCUAUAUACAGGGUAUUACGGUACAGAGUCAAUGUGGAGGCUAUAUACAGGGUAUUACGGUACAGAGUCAAUGUGGAGGCUAUAUACAGGGUAUUACGGUACAGAGUCAAUGUGGAGGCUAUAUACAGGGUAUUACGGUACAGAGUCAAUGUGGAGGCUAUAUACAGGGGGUACUGGUACAGAGUCAAUGUGGAGGCUAUAUACAGGGGGUACCGGUACAGAGUCAAUGUGGAGGCUAUAUACAGGGGGUACCGGUACAGAGUCAAUGUGGAGGCUAUAUACAGGGGGUACCGGUACAGAGUCAAUGUGGAGGCUAUAUACAGGGGGUACCAGUACAGAGUCAAUGUGGAGGCUAUAUACAGGGGGUACCGGUACAGAGUCAAUGUGGAGGCUAUAUACAGGGGGUACCGGUACAGAGUCAAUGGGGAGGCUAUAUACAGGGGGUACCGGUACAGAGUCAAUGGGGAGGCUAUAUACAGGGGGUCCCGGUACAGAGUCAAUGGGGAGGCUAUAUACAGGGGGUACCGGUACAGAGUCAAUGGGGAGGCUAUAUACAGGGGGUACCGGUACAGAGUCAAUGUGGAGACUAUAUACAGGGGGUACCGGUACAGAGUCAAUGUGGAGACUAUAUACAGGGGGUACCGGUACAGAGUCAAUGGGGAGGCUAUAUACAGGGGGUACCGGUACAGAGAGAAUGUGGAGGCUAUAUACAGGGUAUUACGGUACAGAGUCAAAGUGGAGGUUAUAUACAGGGUAUUACGGUACAGAGUCAAUGUGGAGGCUAUAUACAGGGUAUUACGGUACAGAGUCAAUGUGGAGGCUAUAUACAGGGUAUUACGGUACAGAGUCAAUGUGGAGGCUAUAUACAGGGUAUUACGGUACAGAGUCAAUGUGGAGGCUAUAUACAGGGUAUUACGGUACAGAGUCAAUGUGGAGGCUAUAUACAGGGGGUACUGGUACAGAGUCAAUGUGGAGGCUAUAUACAGGGGGUACCAGUACAGAGUCAAUGUGGAGGCUAUAUAUAGGGGGUACCGGUACAGAGUCAAUGUGGAGGCUAUAUACAGGGUGUUACUGGUACAGAGUCAAUGUGGAGGCUAUAUACAGGGGUUACCGGUACAGAGAGAAUGUGGAGGCUAUAUACAGGGGGUACCGGUACAGAGUGAAUGUGGAGGCUAUAUACAGGGGGUACCGGUACAGAGUCAAUGUGGAGGCUAUAAACAGGGGGUACCAGUACAGAGUCAAUGUGGAGGCUAUAUACAGGGGCUACCGGUACAGAGUCAAUGUGGAGGCUAUAUACAGGGUAUUACGGUACAGAGUCAAUGUGGAGGCUAUAUACAGGGUAUUACGGUACAGAGUCAAUGUGGAGGCUAUAUACAGGGUAUUACGGUACAGAGUCAAUGUGGAGGCUAUAUACAGGGUAUUACGGUACAGAGUCAAUGUGGAGGCUAUAUACAGGGGGUACUGGUACAGAGUCAAUGUGGAGGCUAUAUACAGGGGGUACCGGUACAGAGUCAAUGUGGAGGCUAUAUACAGGGGGUACCGGUACAGAGUCAAUGUGGAGGCUAUAUACAGGGGGUACCGGUACAGAGUCAAUGUGGAGGCUAUAUACAGGGGGUACCGAUACAGAGUCAAUGGGGAGGCUAUAUACAGGGGGUACCGGUACAGAGUCAAUGGGGAGGCUAUAUACAGGGGGUCCCGGUACAGAGUCAAUGGGGAGGCUAUAUACAGGGGGUACCGGUACAGAGUCAAUGGGGAGGCUAUAUGCAGGGGGUACCGGUACAGAGAGAAUGUGGAGGCUAUAUACAGGGUAUUACGGUACAGAGUCAAUGUGGAGGUUAUAUACAGGGUAUUACGGUACAGAGUCAAUGUGGAGGCUAUAUACAGGGUAUUACGGUACAGAGUCAAUGUGGAGGCUAUAUACAGGGUAUUACGGUACAGAGUCAAUGUGGAGGCUAUAUACAGGGUAUUACGGUACAGAGUCAAUGUGGAGGCUAUAUACAGGGUAUUACAGUACAGAGUCAAUGUGGAGGCUAUAUACAGGGGGUACUGGUACAGAGUCAAUGUGGAGGCUAUAUACAGGGGGUACCAGUACAGAGUCAAUGUGGAGGCUAUAUAUAGGGGGUACCGGUACAGAGUCAAUGUGGAGGCUAUAUACAGGAGGUACUGGUACAGAGUCAAUGUGGAGGCUAUAUACAGGGGGUACCAGUACAGAGUCAAUGUGGAGGCUAUAUACAGGGUGUUACGCUACAGAGUCAAUGUGGAGGCUAUAUACAGGGGUUACCGGUACAGAGAGAAUGUGGAGGCUAUAUACAGGGGGUACCGGUACAGAGUGAAUGUGGAGGCUAUAUACAGGGGGUCCCGGUACAGAGUCAAUGGGGAGGCUAUAUACAGGGGGUACCGGUACAGAGUCAAUGGGGAGGCUAUAUACAGGGGGUACCGGUACAGAGAGAAUGUGGAGGCUAUAUACAGGGUAUUACGGUACAGAGUCAAUGUGGAGGUUAUAUACAGGGUAUUACGGUACAGAGUCAAUGUGGAGGCUAUAUACAGGGUAUUACGGUACAGAGUCAAUGUGGAGGCUAUAUACAGGGUAUUACGGUACAGAGUCAAUGUGGAGGCUAUAUACAGGGUAUUACGGUACAGAGUCAAUGUGGAGGCUAUAUACAGGGUAUUACGGUACAGAGUCAAUGUGGAGGCUAUAUACAGGGGGUACUGGUACAGAGUCAAUGUGGAGGCUAUAUACAGGGGGUACCAGUACAGAGUCAAUGUGGAGGCUAUAUAUAGGGGGUACCGGUACAGAGUCAAUGUGGAGGCUAUAUACAGGGUGUUACUGGUACAGAGUCAAUGUGGAGGCUAUAUACAGGGGUUACCGGUACAGAGAGAAUGUGGAGGCUAUAUACAGGGGGUACCGGUACAGAGUGAAUGUGGAGGCUAUAUACAGGGGGUACCGGUACAGAGUCAAUGUGGAGGCUAUAUACAGGGGGUACCAGUACAGAGUCAAUGUGGAGGCUAUAUACAGGGGGUACCGGUACAGAGUCAAUGUGGAGGCUAUAUACAGGGUAUUACGGUACAGAGUCAAUGUGGAGGCUAUAUACAGGGUAUUACGGUACAGAGUCAAUGUGGAGGCUAUAUACAGGGUAUUACGGUACAGAGUCAAUGUGGAGGCUAUAUACAGGGUAUUACGGUACAGAGUCAAUGUGGAGGCUAUAUACAGGGGGUACUGGUACAGAGUCAAUGUGGAGGCUAUAUACAGGGGGUACCAGUACAGAGUCAAUGUGGAGGCUAUAUACAGGGGGUACCGGUACAGAGUCAAUGUGGAGGCUAUAUACAGGGGGUACCGGUACAGAGUCAAUGUGGAGGCUAUAUACAGGUGGUACCAGUACAGAGUCAAUGUGGAGGCUAA
rnacentral:lncRNA from 1 species